rnacentral:tRNA from 1 species
GCGCCAAUAGUCUAGGGGUCAAGAUAGGGCCUUCCCAAGGCUCUGACCGGGGUUCAAAUCCCCGUUGGCGCA